ensembl:lncRNA
GAACAACGCCUGCCGACCCACCACUACUGAAGAUCAAUGACUGAACUACGAACCACACUGGAACAUGGUGGUGACUAUCUCCCUCCUGCUUCCUAUACAGACUCCUUGCUUCUAUUUCCUAUCUUUUCUGUCGCCCUUCUCCCCUUCCCCAUCUCCCUGAAUGACUAGGAUUUGUAAUAAACUGCUCAGACCAACAUUUGAACCAUUGUUUCUUAAUCUCAUGCCAGGUAUACAAACAUCAAAGAACCUCCUCUCCCUCUGAUAAAUUGGAGCGAGACAAAGAGAGAGAAGGGACUUAUGCUGUUUUCCUCACAAAAGGGUGUCUACUUUGUAUAUGACAAUUCUGCCUCAGUUUACCAUUUUGUUCCACAAAUACCUUAUGAACAUUUUUUGUUCAUUCCAUGACCUCUUUCCCACCUGUCACCUAGGCAGAAAUUAACUUCUACUACGAUUUCAUCUGAGCUCUGUGAUCUCCACAUGGCCAUCAGGCGGGAGUGAGCAAGAAAUCACCAAGAUGGCACUGAAUCUAAAUCAUCCUAUGAAGGGGCAGACUGGGAAGAACUCUUGAGCUCUUGAUACAUUUUUUCCCCAGUAUAGUAUGUAAUUGGAGAGUAUAAAUACUUCUCCCCCCCCACCUCAUUCUACCAAGCUCUGAAUUUUAUAAAAUCUAGAGCAUUUCCUGUUUGGGGUUCUGCACUUGUGCAUCAAAUUUUAUUAAAUUGGCUAGAAGGUAAAGUGUUAUCAGGGGAAAGAUAGAUGGAACAAGUGACUGCACAAACCUCUCUGAAUGAAACUAGGAUAAGAAGGAGUAGAAAUUAAACAUUCAUAUAUUUUGUAAUGUUCAAAAUAUUAUCUUCAAGCAUUCAACUUCUUAGAUACUUUAUAAAAUGGCUUUCAAAAGCAUAUUUGAACAAAUAAUCCCACCCUUCAAAUCGUAGGAAGGUCUCCUGGGACUGAAUUCUACUUCAUAAAUUUCUGCUGUCUGAGAAAGUUGAGCAUGGUUUGCCUGUAAUUGCUCUGAGAAUAGGUCCCUUUAAGUCAAUCUUUUCCUAGGAGGAGAGGAACAAGAAAUAGAUGUUACCUUUAUUUAUUUGGUAAAUUACAUAGAAUUUGUUUUGAAUAUUUUCUUUAAAAAAAAUUAUUAAAUUUUGGUAAAGGGAAAAUGUGAGUUUUUAAAAAGUAAAUAAAUAAAAAUACAAAAUAAAAUUAGAUAAUUAGCAGAAUUGAAACCUCGUAUUAAAACUACAUUAAAAAUAUAUAUUAAAAAAAAAAAGCUUGGAUGAAAAGUAAGCAGUUUUUUUAAUAUAAAUAUUCAAAACUAAAAUUUUUAUGUUAUCAUACAUUUAAGUCAUCACUAGGAUAGAUCAUGUCACAUUCUGUGAAACCAAGCAACAUUCACUGUAUAUGAACUUCAAGCACUUCUUUUCUCCAUUGUUUAAAAGGUGAACCAAUAUUUGAAGUGCCUCAGUAAACUCACAACACUGAAUGGUCUGCCUUAAGAUCUGAAGGUGAGGGCAUAGAAAGAAGCUGCAAUUAUCUGUUCCCUUUGCAAAAUGGGAAUUGAUGUUAACUUUUGGAACAGAGAGAUUUCUCUGAAAAAGAGAAAUUCCACAUAUAUAUUCCACCCAACAGAGAGGAAUUUUUUCUUCAGCUAGUAGAGAUCUCUGGUUUAAGAUCAAUAAAUGUGAUAUGAGUAUACAUGGGAGCUUGUACAGGACCUCCUCCUUCAACAGUUUUACAUGAAACUAGAAGAUACCAGUGCC